UACAGGGGGUGCAAACGUUGUUCGGAAUUACUGGGCGUAAAGCGCGUGUAGGCUGCGGAGUAAGUCGGAUGUGAAAUCCCUUGGCUUAACCAAGGAAGUGCAUCCGAUACUGCCGUGCUUGAGGACUGGAGAGGAGACUGGAAUUUACGGUGUAGCGGUGAAAUGCGUAGAUAUCGUAAGGAAGACCAGUGGCGAAGGCGGGUCUCUGGACAGUUCCUGACGCUGAGGCACGAAGGUCAGGGGAGCAAACGGG
rnacentral:rRNA from 1 species